rnacentral:rRNA from 1 species
UGGUAGCAAUACCGGAGGAAGUUUAGUGGCGAACGGGUGCGUAACACGUGGGCAAUCUGCCGAGAAGUGGGGGAUAGCUCGCCGAAAGGCGAAUUAAUACCGCAUGUGAUCAGGGGAGACAUCUCUCUGAAAUUAAAGCCGGGGCAACCUGGCGCUUCUUGAUGAGCCCGCGGCCUAUCAGCUAGUUGGUGAGGUAACGGCUCACCAAGGCUUUGACGGGUAGCUGGUCUGAGAGGACGACCAGCCACACUGGAACUGAGACACGGUCCAGACACCUACGGGUGGCAGCAGUCGAGAAUUUUUCUCAAUGGGGGAAACCCUGAAGGAGCGACGCCGCGUGGAGGAUGAAGGCUUUCGGGUUGUAAACUCCUGUCAUUUGGGAACAAUGCCUAUUAGUUAACUGCUAGCAGGUUGAUAGUACCAGAAGAGGAAGAGACGGCUAACUCUGUGCCAGCAGCCGCGGUAAUACAGAGGUCUCAAGCGUUGUUCGGAUUCAUUGGGCGUAAAGGGUGCGUAGGUGGCGCGCUAAGUCAGGUGUGAAAUUUCGGAGCUUAACUCCGAAACUGCAUUUGAUACUGGCGUGCUUGAGGACUGGAGAGGAGACUGGAAUUCUCGGUGUAGCA